UGAUAUUGAAAAUAUCCCGUGCUCACAAUACUACCCUCAACCGCGGACCAAAGUGAAAAGGCACACAAAUUGCACAGCCAAAUUAAAAGAAACCAAAGUUGGCCAAUACAGCGCCAUUGGAGUCUUUGAGCGGAUGGAAGGAUCCAGCGCGCAAUUUCCCCUUUUAAACAAAGUGGCGCAGAUCCAAUUUGCUUAUUUGGGCCAACGCGCGGAUCUUCAUGGUAAUGGACGACGCCGUUUUGCUUUACAGACCAUUUUAAACCCUUUUUCCUUUCUUUUUUUCAACCGCCCAUCCAUUUGAACAAAAAAACAGCAGCCCUAAAAUUAAAUUUGCUAGGGUUCUUAGUGUUUGCCGAAUACCCCAUUUUGCUUGGUAAACGGCGAUGGACCAACAUCGAUCAAAUUCAAUGCGCGCCCAUAUAAAAUCGAGGAGGAAUGUGAAGGAGGCCGCGCGUGGAGCCACUCGUGGGAGUCCCAAUUCUCUGGCCUAUUCUGGCACGUUCCAGAAGCUUCUAGUGCUGCUGAGAUAAUUUUGGGUGUAUUGGGCCUCGGGUUUUAAGGCUUAUUGGGAUUGAUUCUAGGGUUGUGGGUUUAUUUUAGUAUUUUGAAAAUUGUAAAUGGACUUUUUGGACUAUUUAGUCUUGGACUUUAUUUAUUUAUUUGGGUUUAUUUAUUUGUAAAUAAAUUAAAUGGGCCCGGGCAAAAUGGGUUAACUACAAA